GUGCUUGCUUCGGCAGCACAUAUACUAAAAUUGGAACGAUGCAGAGAAGAUUAGCAUGGCCCCUGCGCAAGGAUGAUUUACAUUUAAUAUGAUUCUCAAAAUGGUUUA